CCUGGUGGCUCAGCAGUGAAGCGUCUGCCUGUAACGCAGGAGACACAGGUUCAAUCCCUGGGUCAGGA
rnacentral:tRNA from 1 species